AGACCCGAAACCCGGUGAUCUAGCCAUGGGCAGGUUGAAGGUUGGGUAACACUAACUGGAGGACCGAACCGACUAAUGUUGAAAAAUUAGCGGAUGACCUGUGGCUGGGGGUGAAAGGCCAAUCAAACCGGGAGAUAGCUGGUUCUCCCCGAAAGCUAUUUAGGUAGCGCCUCGUGAAUUCAUCUCCGGGGGUAGAGCACUGUUUCGGCUAGGGGGCCAUCCCGGCUUACCAACCCGAUGCAAACUGCGAAUACCGGAGAAUGUUAUCACGGGAGACACACGGCGGGUGCUAACGUCCGUCGUGAAGAGGGAAACAACCCAGACCGCCAGCUAAGGUCCCAAAGUCAUGGUUAAGUGGGAAACGAUGUGGGAAGGCCCAGACAGCCAGGAUGUUGGCUUAGAAGCAGCCAUCAUUUAAAGAAAGCGUAAUAGCUCACUGGUCGAGUCGGCCUGCGCGGAAGAUGUAACGGGGCUAAACCAUGCACCGAAGCUGCGGCAGCGACACUCAGGUGUUGUUGGGUAGGGGAGCGUUCUGUAAGCCUGUGAAGGUGUGUCGUGAGGCAUGCUGGAGGUAUCAGAAGUGCGAAUGCUGACAUAAGUAACGAUAAAGCGGGUGAAAAGCCCGCUCGCCGGAAGACCAAGGGUUCCUGUCCAACGUUAAUCGGGGCAGGGUGAGUCGACCCCUAAGGCGAGGCCGAAAGGCGUAGUCGAUGGGAAACGGGUUAAUAUUCCCGUACUUGGUGUUACUGCGAAGGGGGGACGGAGAAGGCUAUGUUGGCCGGGCGACGGUUGUCCCGGUUUAAGCGUGUAGGUGUGUGUUCCAGGUAAAUCCGGUUCACUUUAACACUGAGGCGUGAUGACGAGGCACUACGGUGCUGAAGCAACAAAUGCCCUGCUUCCAGGAAAAGCCUCUAAGCAUCAGGUAACAUCAAAUCGUACCCCAAACCGACACAGGUGGUCAGGUAGAGAAUACCAAGGCGCUUGAGAGAACUCGGGUGAAGGAACUAGGCAAAAUGGUGCCGUAACUUCGGGAGAAGGCACGCUGACACGUAGGUGAAGUGAUUUACUCAUGGAGCUGAAGUCAGUCGAAGAUACCAGCUGGCUGCAACUGUUUAUUAAAAACACAGCACUGUGCAAACACGAAAGUGGACGUAUACGGUGUGACGCCUGCCCGGUGCCGGAAGGUUAAUUGAUGGGGUCAGCGCAAGCGAAGCUCCUGAUCGAAGCCCCGGUAAACGGCGGCCGUAACUAUAACGGUCCUAAGGUAGCGAAAUUCCUUGUCGGGUAAGUUCCGACCUGCACGAAUGGCGUAAUGAUGGCCAGGCUGUCUCCACCCGAGACUCAGUGAAAUUGAACUCGCUGUGAAGAUGCAGUGUACCCGCGGCAAGACGGAAAGACCCCGUGAACCUUUACUAUAGCUUGACACUGAACAUUGAGCCUUGAUGUGUAGGAUAGGUGGGAGGCUUUGAAGCGUGGACGCCAGUCUGCGUGGAGCCGACCUUGAAAUACCACCCUUUAAUGUUUGAUGUUCUAACGUGGACCCGUGAUCCGGGUUGCGGACAGUGUCUGGUGGGUAGUUUGACUGGGGCGGUCUCCUCCUAAAGAGUAACGGAGGAGCACGAAGGUUGGCUAAUCCUGGUCGGACAUCAGGAGGUUAGUGCAAUGGCAUAAGCCAGCUUGACUGCGAGCGUGACGGCGCGAGCAGGUGCGAAAGCAGGUCAUAGUGAUCCGGUGGUUCUGAAUGGAAGGGCCAUCGCUCAACGGAUAAAAGGUACUCCGGGGAUAACAGGCUGAUACCGCCCAAGAGUUCAUAUCGACGGCGGUGUUUGGCACCUCGAUGUCGGCUCAUCACAUCCUGGGGCUGAAGUAGGUCCCAAGGGUAUGGCUGUUCGCCAUUUAAAGUGGUACGCGAGCUGGGUUUAGAACGUCGUGAGACAGUUCGGUCCCUAUCUGCCGUGGGCGCUGGAGAACUGAGGGGGGCUGCUCCUAGUACGAGAGGACCGGAGUGGACGCAUCACUGGUGUUCGGGUUGUCAUGCCAAUGGCACUGCCCGGUAGCUAAAUGCGGAAGAGAUAAGUGCUGAAAGCAUCUAAGCACGAAACUUGCCCCGAGAUGAGUUCUCCCUGAGAC
rnacentral:rRNA from 1 species